rnacentral:lncRNA from 7 species
GCAUUGUGGUCGCCCCGGCUGGGAUUCCUCCUCCACGUAGCUCUCCUCUUCACAUCACACAACGCCGGAGGCCUGUCGUGCAGCCGCCGCUAGAGACCUGUCGCGCAGCCACCACCGAAGGCCUGUCGCGCAGCCACCACCGAAGGCCUGUCGCGCAGCCGCCGCCGCCGGAGACCUGUCGCACAGCAGCUGCCGCCGGGCUUGGGCGCUGCUAGGGGGACGAGGACUCCAUAGGUGAUCCGCGGGGGAUGGGUCGUGGGCGCUGCCAGGGGACGAGGACUCCGUAGGCGAUCUGCGGGGGACGACAAGAAUUGCUCUGCUUUGCACGUGCUGCCAGUCUGCCUGUGCUACCAAAUUUCAACCUCGACAUCGACGCGCAUCACCAAUUUGUUGCGCCUGGUAAGGAUUACUCUAACCAUGUAGAUCCAUUUAUAUGAAAUAGAUACUACAAUUAGCAAUAUGGUGCACUGGUUGAGGAGAUAUGAGGAUAAUGGCGCUUGUUGUUCUAUGCAGUUGUUGUAUUCUGGGUACUCCGUAGAUAGAAAAGACAGAUUAUUUGAUAGUGGUAAGUGUGGCG